ensembl:lncRNA
GUAGGUAUUUUGUUUUAAAAAGUUUUUGAGCAGGUAACCAUAUAUGUUAGGAGGAAAAGAUUAUGAAGGCUGCAUAUUCGUGAACAGAGUGUAUUAUUUUAGUCAAAAAUUACCAAGCUGGGCGUCAUGGUGCAUGCUUGUAAUCCCAACACUUGGGAGGCUGAGGCAGGAGACUUGCCACAAGUUCGAGGCCAGCCUUAGAUAAAUAGUGAAAUCAAGGACAGCCUGAACUACAUAGCAAAACUCUGUCUACAAAAAAAUUUUUUUUUAAGUUAUAAAAAAAUGACCUUUGGUUGGAGAUAACCACAGUAAUUUUGUUUGGCAAUUAAUCAUAAGGAGUAAGUUCUCUGUCGGUGGCUGUUGUUGAUACGUUGUUUACAUAAGAUCAAACAGCAUUUUUCAGGCCUGGUUGGUCUGUCAUCCUCCUCAGAGGUGGUACACUAAUUCUUCACCCCUCCUUGCUGACUUCAUUAUACAACUUGCACCAAGACUUCCCCGCUCUCCUGCUUUCCUUUAUGUAUAUCUGCAGUGAGAUCAGCUGCCUCCUUGCUGCUCUGCUAUGACUCAGGUCCUAACUGUGCCUCACUGUGCAGGCCCCCCAGAGGCAGCUCUCUGUGCACCUCAUUUUCUUCUCCAUAAGCUUCCAUGCUCAGUCUUUUCCAAGAUACAUAGAUCACCAGAUAUGUUUGGAGUACCUCCUAGGUGCCCUGCUCUGGAACCAGCUCACCACCCUCAUCCUCAUUUUCCUGGAGAUGUGCCCUGGCCCCUGAACAGACAGAAAGUCCAGGUUUGACAAGUCUCAUUAAAGAGGUCCCCAGACACCAGCUGACAGCUGUGCCAUUGGCUUACAGAUAUCUAUGCCAGUGUUUGCAUGACAGAACUGAGAAAUUAUGAUAGAUACCAUAUAGUCCACAAAGCCAGAGUCUUGUCUUUCCACCCCUUUCCAGGAAAAGUUGGCCACCUCAGGCUUAGGAUGCUACCCUGUUGGGUCCAGGCUUUGCCCAGGGACUCAAGAAUUUUUACAGGAGUUGAUCAGGGAACUAGUCUAUGCUGUGGAAUGAUUGUAUGUGUGCAGUGGGUGGUUCUUGACCAGUUCUCAUAGCCACGUAAGAUCCCUCCUUCCUUAACCUUCCUUAAAUACUGUAGGCCCUUGGGGGGAACACGAGACCUAGCAUUGAACUGAGUUCUCAUUGCAGUCAGUUGUGUGAAGAGUGCAUGAUGUGGAUGGCAACUUCAGACUGCACCUAGUUCUUCAUGGUCUGUGUUAGGUGUAUUCACAGACUACUAGAAUUCUGACACAGUAGAACUAAAGAGGUAGGCUUAGCGGCAAGCUUCCACAAAAGAUUCCAGAACAGUCCCACAUAAUUGCUCUGCUCUGACCCAGGGCAGCAGGCACAGGUGUUGAACUUCCCUCUUUCACCUCUGCCUUGACUUAAUAUCUUGGGCAGCUGUAUCAGAACCCCAACUAAUGCUUGUUCUCCACCAGCAGCAAGGGAGGAAUAAAGUGCAGAUUGUGGAUUCUGCACUGAAAAGACAGCAGAGAGCUCCCAGGGUGUGUGGAGUAGAUUCCAUGAGUUUCUGAGUAGUUAUAAAUGACAAGUGUCCACUAUAACCUGCAUUUUUGUGACUUAAAAAAUGUUUUAAAUAAUUUCACUCAAAAUUUGUAAUACCACAAAGAACAUCCCCCUGCCUCCACUCAGAUUCCCCAUUUAACAUUUACUUUCUUUUCCCCUCAUCAGUAAAGACAAUUUUUCCCCAACACUGAGCUGCAGAUGCACCUUCCCCCAGAAUGUCAGCAUGUGCUUCCCAUCAAGAACCUUCUCUUCCAUGGCCAUGGUAUCAUUGUCAAAGUUAAAGAAUAAAUGAUGAUGAUGUACAUACUCCAUAAGCCUUAUUAAUGUUUUGACACUUGUCCCAGUGAUGUCCCUUAUAGAAAGUAGAAAUGUUUUUCCCUGGUCCACAAGCCAGUCUUCAAUCACAUGUAUGUAGCUGUCAUGUCCUUCUGCCUAAAAUAGUUCAGUCUUUGUCUUUCAUGGCAGACAUUUUUUAAGCACAUGGGCCAUUUAUCUUGUAGAAUGUCCUUGGAGACAUAGGUUUUUUUGUUUUGUUUGUUUGUUUCUUUGUUUUUGGUACUGGGGAUCCAGCUCAGGACCUUGAGCUUGCAAGGC